UUGAUCCUGGCUCAGAAUCAACGCUGGCGGCGUGCCUAACACAUGCAAGUCGAACGCGAAAGCCCCGCAAGGGGUGAGUAGAGUGGCAAACGGGUGAGUUACACGUGGGUGACCUGCCGUCGAGUGGGGGAUAACGUCCCGAAAGGGACUCUAAUACCGCAUAACAUGCUGCCGUUGAAGAGGUGGACAGCAAAGCUGGUGACCGCAAGGCCUGGCGCUUGACGAGGGGCCCGCGCCUGAUUAGCUAGUUGGUGGGGUAACGGCUCACCAAGGCAUCGAUCAGUAUCCGGCCUGAGAGGUCGGACGGACACACUGGGACUGAGACACGGCCCAGACUCCUACGGGAGGCUGCAGUGGGGAAUUGUUCGCAAUGGGCGCAAGCCUGACGACGCAACGCCGUGUGGAGGAUGAAGACCUUCGGGUCGUAAACUCCUUUCGAUCGAGACGAAUGGUCCCUGGGGGAAUAUCCUGGGGAAGUGACGGUACCGAGAGAAGAAGCUCCGGCUAACUCCGUGCCAGCAGCCGCGGUAAUAAGGU
rnacentral:rRNA from 1 species